rnacentral:rRNA from 1 species
UACGUAGGGUGCGAGCGUUAAUCGGAAUUACUGGGCGUAAAGCGUGCGCAGGCGGCUUUGCAAGACAGAUGUGAAAUCCCCGGGCUCAACCUGGGAACUGCAUUUGUGACUGCAAGGCUAGAGUACGGCAGAGGGGGAUGGAAUUCCGCGUGUAGCAGUGAAAUGCGUAGAUAUGCGGAGGAACACCAAUGGAAGGCAAUCCCCUGGGCCUGUACUGACGCUCAUGCACGAAAGCGUGGGGAGCAAACAGG